CAACAGAAAAAAAUUACGGUGUCGAGAAGUAGAAAAGGACCCAAGUUCCAUUUUGGGUCGGAAGAACUAGAAAACUCAAAAGAUCGCCUCUCUUUUAGUGAGGAAACUAGCAAAGGGAGAAUGUUGCACUAUGUUACCGAAAGAGUGGAUCAAAACUACACUAAAACACAACAAAAAAAAAAAUUUAAUCAGUUGAACGAUAAGAUAAUCGAUAAAAAACUAAAGAAAGUUUAAACGGUAAGCAUAAGAAAAACCACGCACCUGGGAUGAAGAGAGAAAAAGGAGAGGACGAAGACAAUGACGUUAUGACAAAAUACAAUGCAAUGCCGGAAGAGAUAAAAAGUAGAGGUGCGCAAGGGAGUAAAAGAAGAGGAGAACCAGAGAAAAAGGAGAAGAGAUGAAGACGCGAUCAGAAAUUGAGUGGUUAGAAGGGCUGCGGUUCAUUUAAAAUGAAAUUGGGCGUCGGUUGCGCCAGAAACCAACGUCUAUAGACGUCAGUGUUUGAUCGGGAUCCAACGUCUAUUCUUCUUAAAGAAGCUGAAAAGAUUGACGUUUGAUUUCCUGUCAGGGUAAUUCACGUCGGUGUCCCUCCUAGCCGAUGUCUAAAACCCUUGAAUUUAGUGAAAAUAAUCAAUUACAGGAACGUAGACGUCGAUUACGUUCCGAACCGACGUCUAAAUUGAAGGAUUUUUGUCUUCCCGCCUUCCAGAUAGGCCUUAGACGUCGCCGUUUGACUACGUGACGUCUAAGCGCCUAGGAAUUUGGUGAACGACAUUAAUUGUAGCCUCAGUCGACGUCGCUUGUUCAGGGGAUCCGACGU
rnacentral:lncRNA from 1 species